CUUUUUUUGCGGCUGUCAAAAGCACAAGCUGGCAUGGUAAUGACAGGAAGAUAUGGGUGAAAUGCCAGCCCUAAUUAGAGACUUGAUUGCUCUGUAAUAACAAGGCCUGUAUUUGAUUUGGACGGUUCUGGCUUGUCAGAGAUGACUACCCUCAACAAGAUGAAGCAAUUAUUUCUCUCUUUAUUUGGUGUUUUCAGAGACCAUUAAGCUUAUUUUGUCCUCAUUGGAAAACAAAGCAAUUUUCUAGUCAAGGUUUAAAAAAAAAGAAAAAACAUCUGGACUCUGUUUCUCCUUCUCUGAGACUACUUUCAGCCAUGCGAGACGACUACGCCCACUUCGCCUUCUGCCAUGAUUGGCAGUUUCCUGAGGCCUUCCCAGAAGCUGAGCCAAUGCCAGCAUCAUGCUUCCUGUGCAGCAUAUUGAACUCUCAUUUUGUUUUAGUACUGAAUAAUAUUCCAUUGGACGAGUGUACCACAGUUUAUCCACUUGCCUACUGAGGGGCAUUCUUGUUGCUUCUGAGUUUGAGACAUAUGAAUCGGGCUUCUAUCAACAUCCAUGUGCAGGCUUCUCUAUGGACAUAGUUUCAACCUCCUUUGAGUACAUACCAAGAAGUGUGAUUACUGGAUCUUAUGGUAAGCCUACGUUUAGUUUCAUGAGAAAUGGCCAAACUAUCUUUCAGAGUGGUUGUGCCAGUUUGCAUUCUCUCCAACAAUGAGUGGGAGUUCCUGUGGCUUCAGAUCUUUACCCACAUUCAGUGUUCUGGAUUUUGGCCAUUUUAAUAGGUGUGUUGUUGUGUCUCAUUGUCA
rnacentral:lncRNA from 13 species